rnacentral:tmRNA from 1 species
GGGGGCGACUGGUUUCGACAGGAGCUCUAGUAUUUAAGGUUGCAUGCCGAGAUUCCAUCGGUCUCGUUAAACAGGUGGAAAACAAGCAACUGCCAACGAAGAACUGGCACUCGCAGCCUAAUUUAGGCUUGUGACGUCUUUCUCAUGAGGGUCUGCGUAAUGAGAAAGGCGCAAUUGCAGCAGGCUGGUCCGCCUGAUCCGUUGAUGUCAGGCAGAUGAGAUCAAGUCAACUAGCCUUUUUUCUAAGCCUGUCUUUGGGCGUGGAGAGAGGCGAAAUCCAAAACAAAGAAUACGCAUGUAGUAGCCUUAGGUUUUAGGUUCUUGGACCGGAGUUCGAUUCUCCGCGCCUCCAUUA